rnacentral:rRNA from 1 species
AUUGAACGCUGGCGGAAUGCUUUACACAUGCAAGUCGAGCGGCAGCGCGGUCUUCGGACCGGCGGCGAGCGGCGAACGGGUGAGUAAUACAUCGGAACGUGCCCUGUAGUGGGGGAUAACUAGUCGAAAGAUUAGCUAAUACCGCAUACGACCUGAGGGUGAAAGUGGGGGACCGCAAGGCCUCAUGCUAUAGGAGCGGCCGAUGUCUGAUUAGCUAGUUGGUGAGGUAAAGGCUCACCAAGGCGACGAUCAGUAGCUGGUCUGAGAGGAGGAUCGGCCACACUGGGGACUGAGACAUGGCCCAGACUCCUACGGGAGGCAGCAUG